rnacentral:rRNA from 1 species
UACGUAGGGGGCAAGCGUUGUCCGGAAUCAUUGGGCGUAAAGAGCGUGUAGGCGGCCCGAUAAGUCCGCUGUGAAAGUCCAGGGCUCAACCCUGGAAUGCCGGUGGAUACUGUCGGGCUCGAGUCCGGAAGAGGCGAGUGGAAUUCCUGGUGUAGCGGUGAAAUGCGCAGAUAUCAGGAGGAACACCGAUGGCGAAGGCAGCUCGCUGGGACGGUACUGACGCUGAGGAGCGAAAGCGUGGGGAGCGAACAGG